UACAGAGGGUGCGAGCGUUGUUCGGAAUUAUUGGGCGUAAAGGGCGCGUAGGCGGUGCCACAAGUCACCUGUGAAAUCUCUGGGCUCAACCCAGAGGCUGCUUCCGAAACUGCUGUGCUUGAGUGUGGGAGAGGCGCGUGGAAUUGCAGGUGUAGCGGUGAAAUGCGUAGAUAUCUGCAGGAACACCCGUGGCGAAAGCGGCGCGCUGGACCACAACUGACGCUGAGGAACGAAAGCUAGGGGAGCAAACAG
rnacentral:rRNA from 1 species